CGGGGAGUAGCUCAGACUGGUCAGAGCGCUUGCUUCGGGAGCAAGAGGUCGGGCGUUCAAAUCGCCUCUCCCCGA
rnacentral:tRNA from 1 species